UAUGGGACGGGUGGUAGGGCGCAUACUGUUUUGCAAGCCAAGUUGUUAACAUUCUUUAUUCGAAAUAGGCAAGAAAGAAAUGCCUUCUAUUGAUUUACAUAAAUAAAGUUUGUAAAUGAGUGAUUAACCAGUGGCGUCUGAAAUUAAUGAUGCAUAGAAAAUUAUCAUAUUGGAGUGUGAAUGUGAGAAACUGAAUUCAAGGAGUUGAAAAGAGAUUUCCAAUCAUGGAUUAUUGGAUUACACGAGAAUUUCAAAAGUACCGAACCAUCUGCAGGGCCCAGUAUAUGGGAGUUAAAUAGGUUAAAAGUCAUCAAUCAAUUGUUUGUAUAUAAAAAAUUUAAGAAACGAAAAUUAUUCAUAUUUUUCGUCCAUCAAUUGUAUAUAAUUAAUUUUUUAAAAUUGCAUAUAGUGAAAAUUUCAAUUUAAUUGUACACGGAUAAAAUUCAAUAAGUUCAUAGAAUUAUUAAGGAAUUGUAUAUGAUCAAAUUGACAACAAAUAUGGAACAUAAUUACUCAAUGCAAUUUAAUAAUCAAAUCCCAAUAACAUUUGAAUAUUUGCGAAAAAAUUUGAAAUUGGUGAAAAAACCAGAUAAUUGGGCUACUGUUGAAUACAAGACAUGCAUAAUAUUCGUUCAAGUAUUAGACAAUUUGCAGGAAAAAAUGAAACUGAUUAUCAAUUGUAAUUCAGAAAUUGAAAUAUUGCGUAAUAAUCGGCCAUUAAAUUGGAUAACAUGUGAAAAAAUCGAAUCAAUCGAACAGUUGUCUGGCAUUAUAGAAAUUUUACAUCGUAUUUCAUGUUUUUGAUCAAUCUAUUUGAAUUUAUUUUCAAACGUAAUGUUUAAGAUAAAAUAAUGUUUGGUUAACAUUGCAUUCACAAGUAUGAAUAACUAACAUGGAGUAUAAAAAAUGUAAUCCAAUACUUCUACGUUAAAUAAAUCCAAACAUUGCUUUAUUUCGUA